rnacentral:rRNA from 1 species
AUUGAACGCUGGCGGCAUGCUUUACACAUGCAAGUCGAACGGCAGCGCGGGCUUCGGCCUGGCGGCGAGUGGCGAACGGGUGAGUAAUGCAUCGGAACGUGCCCAGUAGUGGGGGAUAGCACGGCGAAAGACGGAUUAAUACCGCAUACGACCUGAGGGUGAAAGCGGGGGACCGAAAGGCCUCGCGCUAUUGGAGGGGCCGAUGUCGGAUUAGCUAGUUGGUGGGGUAAAGGCUUACCAAGGCGACGAUCCGUAGCUGGUCUGAGAGGACGACCAGCCACACUGGGACUGAGACACGGCCCAGACUCCUACGGGAGGCAGCAGUGGGGAAUGUUGGACAAUGGGGGCAACCCUGAUCCAGCCAUGCCGCGUGCGGGAAGAAGGCCUUCGGGUUGUAAACCGCUUUUGUUCGGGAAGAAAUCCUCUGGGCUAAUACCCCGGGGGGAUGACGGUACCGGAAGAAUAAGCACCGGCUAACUACGUG